CCUACGGGAGGCUGCAGUGGGGAAUAUUGGACAAUGGGGGCAACCCUGAUCCAGCCAUGCCGCGUGUGUGAAGAAGGCCCUCGGGUUGUAAAGCACUUUCAGUGAGGAAGAACGCCUGGUGGUUAAUACCCAUCAGGAAAGACAUUACUCACAGAAGAAGCACCGGCUAACUCCGUGCCAGCAGCCGCGGUAAUACGGAGGGUGCGAGCGUUAAUCGGAAUUACUGGGCGUAAAGCGCGCGUAGGUGGCUUGAUAAGCCGGUUGUGAAAGCCCCGGGCUCAACCUGGGAACGGCAUCCGGAACUGUCAAGCUAGAGUGCAGGAGAGGAAGGUAGAAUUCCCGGUGUAGCGGUGAAAUGCGUAGAGAUCGGGAGGAAUACCAGUGGCGAAGGCGGCCUUCUGGACUGACACUGACACUGAGGUGCGAAAGCGUGGGUAGCAAACAGGAUUAGAUACCCGUGUAGUC
rnacentral:rRNA from 1 species